rnacentral:rRNA from 1 species
UACAGAGGGUGCAAGCGUUAAUCGGAAUUACUGGGCGUAAAGCGCGCGUAGGUGGUUCGUUAAGUUGGAUGUGAAAUCCCCGGGCUCAACCUGGGAACUGCAUUCAAAACUGACGAGCUAGAGUAUGGUAGAGGGUGGUGGAAUUUCCUGUGUAGCGGUGAAAUGCGUAGAUAUAGGAAGGAACACCAGUGGCGAAGGCGACCACCUGGACUGAAUACUGACCACUGGAGAGACGAAAGCUAGGGGAGC